rnacentral:rRNA from 1 species
CACGCCGUAAACGAUGAGUGCUAAGUGUUGGAGGGUUUCCGCCCUUCAGUGCUGCAGUAAACGCAUUAAGCACUCCGCCUGGGGAGUACGGCCGCAAGGCUGAAACUCAAAGGAAUUGACGGGGGCCCGCACAAGCGGUGGAGCAUGUGGUUUAAUUCGAAGCAACGCGAAGAACCUUACCAGGUCUUGACAUCCUUUGACCACUCUGGAGACAGAGUCUUCCCUUCGGGGACAAAGUGACAGGUGG